UACGUAGGGUGCGAGCGUUUGUCCGGAAUUAUUGGGCGUAAAGAGCUCGUAGGCGGUUUGUCGCGUCGAAUGUGAAAACCCGGGGCUCAACCCCGGGCCUGCAUUCGAUACGGGCAGACUAGAGUUCGGUAGGGGGAGUCUGGAAUUCCUGGUGUAGCGGUGAAAAUGCGCAGAUAUCAGGAGGAACACCGGUGGCGAAGGCGGGACUCUGGGCCGAUACUGACGCUGAGGAGCGAAAGCGUGGGGAGCAAACAGG
rnacentral:rRNA from 1 species